UCAUGAGAGGUGUAGAUUUCUGAAAAAUC
rnacentral:sRNA from 1 species